CCCUUCUCCUUGAAGAACCACAGCCUGAAAUUCGAUUCCACGUCCUUUCCAGCCCAGCAAAAGCAGGACACCACCAACCAUCAGCCAUGAAGAUCCUCUUCCUUCUCUUCGCUGCUCUUCUAUUCUUCGUUCAGAUCAUGCCAGGAAAUGCUGACCCUGCUCCUGAUACCAUGGAGUGCAAGCGGAACAGGGGCUUCUGCAAAUACGGUGUUUGUCCUGGAAUAACUGAACCAACUGGAGGGACAUGCCAGUAUGGAUACUUGGUCUGCUGCAAAUCGCCAUGGAGAAACUGAGGCAAUGAUAGCAAGAACACGGGACCAGAUCAACUUCAAGAGUCAAAAAUGAAUAGCCAUUUUAUUCAUACUGUGAAAGGCUGAAGUUCUGAGGAAAAUCCAAAAAGCACUCCACUCCAGAUCCUGCAGACAAGUGUACUUUGGCUCUGUGGAGAAACAUCCGCCUCACUUCAGCUCUACAAAUGCAUUAAUAACCCAAUUACAGUCCUGUUCGAUCAUAGAAAUGAAACAAUUUCCCAGAUUCUGAGAAUUCAGUAAUUAAACCAUGGUGUUACUCUGUAAUGUGAGAAAAAAAUUAUAUGUUCAGAUAAAGAAAACUGUGUGUGUGUGAAAUAUAGGUGUUUUGAAACCCUGUUUUCUUUUCUAAAAUUCUGGAAGAGGAAAAGUUCCGUUUAUGAACAUUUCAUUACUAUAAAAAUAAACUAUGCAACAUGAA